GGUGGCUAAUACCGCAUACGUCCUGAGGGAGAAAGCGGGGGAUCGCAAGACCUCGCGUUAUUAGAGCGGCCGAUGCCGGAUUAGCUAGUUGGUGAGGUAAAGGCUCACCAAGGCGACGAUCCGUAGCUGGUCUGAGAGGAUGAUCAGCCACACUGGAACUGAGACACGGUCCAGACUCCUACGGGAGGCAGCAGUGGGGAAUUUUGGACAAUGGGGGCAACCCUGAUCCAGCCAUUCCGCGUGAGUGAAGAAGGCCUUCGGGUUGUAAAGCUCUUUCGGCAGGAACGAAACGCUCUGGACUAAUACUCUGGGGUAAUGACGGUACCUGAAGAAGAAGCACCGGCUAACUACGUGCCAGCAGCCGCGGUAAUACGUAGGGUGCGAGCGUUAAUCGGAAUUACUGGGCGUAAAGCGUGCGCAGGCGGCUCUAUAAGACAGAUGUGAAAUCCCCGGGCUUAACCUGGGAACUGCGUUUGUGACUGUAGGGCUCGAGUGUGGCAGAGGGGGGUGGAAUUCCACGUGUAGCAGUGAAAUGCGUAGAGAUGUGGAGGAACACCGAUGGCGAAGGCAGCCCCCUGGGUCAACACUGACGCUCAUGCACGAAAGCGUGGGUAGCAAACAGGAUUAGAUACCCUGGUAGUCCACGCCCUAAGCGAUGCCAACUAGGUGUUGGGGGAGGAGACUUCCUUAGUACCGUAGCUAACGCGUGAAGUUGGCCUCCUGGGGAGUACGGUCGCAAGAUUAAAACUCAAAGGAAUUGACGGGGACCCGCACAAGCGGUGGAUGAUGUGGAUUAAUUCGAUCCACGCGAAGAACCUUACCUGGGUUUGACAUCCCCUGACAGCCGUAGAGAUACGGUUUUGUAGCAAUACACAGGGAGACAGGUGCUGCAUGGCUGUCGUCAGCUCGUAUCGUGAGAUGUCGGGUUAAGUCCCUUAACGAGCGCAACCCUUGUCCUUAGUUGCCACCAUUUAGUUGGGCACUCUAAGGAGACUGCCGGUGUUAAACCGGAGGAAGGUGGGGAUGACGUCAAGUCCUCAUGGCCUUUAUAUCCAGGGCUACACACGUGCUACAAUGGCCGGUACAGAGGGUCGCCAACCCGCGAGGGGGAGCUAAUCUCAGAAAGCCGGUCUUAGUUCGGAUCGAAGUCUGCAAUUCGACUUCGUGAAGCUGGAAUCGCUAGUAAUCGCGGAUCAGAACGCCGCGGUGAAUACGUUCCCGGGCCUUGUACACACCGCCCGUCAC
rnacentral:rRNA from 1 species